UACGUAGGGGGGCAAGCGUUGUCCGGAUUUAUUGGGCGUAAAGAGCGUGUAGGCGGCUUUGCAAGUCCGUUGUGAAAACUCGAGGCUCAACCUCGAGAUGUCGGCGGAAACCAUCUGGCUAGAGUCCGGAAGAGGAGAGUGGAAUUCCUGGUGUAGCGGUGAAAUGCGCAGAUAUCAGGAAGAACACCCGUGGCGAAGGCGGCUCUCUGGGACGGUACUGACGCUGAGACGCGAAAGCGUGGGGAGCGAACAGG
rnacentral:rRNA from 1 species